UACGGUGCUACCACGUUAAAACACCGCUUCCUGUAUGAUCAUCGAAGUUAAGCAACGUCGAACCUGACCAGUACUUAGAUGGGUGACAGCUUGGGAAUACCAGAUGCUGUGA